rnacentral:rRNA from 1 species
UUCGCCUUCAUGAAGCCGGAAUUGCUAGUAAUGGCAGGUCAGCAUACUGCCGUGAAUACGUUCCCGAGCCUUGUACACACCGCCCGUCACACCAUGAGAGUUGGGAAUACCCGAAGCCUGUGAGCUAACUGUAAAGAGGCAGCAGUCGAAGGUAGAAUCAAUGAUUGGGGUGAAGUCGUAACAAGGUAAC